rnacentral:rRNA from 1 species
GACGAACGCUGGCGGCGUGCUUAACACAUGCAAGUCGAACGAGACGAUUUAGAAGCUUGCUUUUAUUGAGUCGAGUGGCAAACGGGUGAGUAACGCGUAUCCAACCUGCCCAUCACUUGGGAAUAACCUUGCGAAAGUAAGACUAAUGCCCAAUGACAUUUAUAGAAGGCAUCUGAAAUGAAUUAAAGAUUUAUCGGUGAUGGAUGGGGAUGCGUCUGAUUAGCUUGUUGGCGGGGUAACGGCCCACCAAGGCGACGAUCAGUAGGGGUUCUGAGAGGAAGGUCCCCCACAUUGGAACUGAGACACGGUCCAAACUCCUACGGGAGGCAGCAGUGAGGAAUAUUGGUCAAUGGGCGAGAGCCUGAACCAGCCAAGUAGCGUGCAGGAAGACGGCCCUAUGGGUUGUAAACUGCUUUUGUGCGGGGAUAAAGUGUGCGACGUGUCGCUCAUUGCAGGUACCGCACGAAUAAGGACCGGCUAAUUCCGUGCCAGCAGCCG